rnacentral:rRNA from 1 species
CCCGCAAGGGAACGGGUGGAUUUAUUAGAACAGAACCAACCUGGGUCGAUUUCGGUCGUCCCUGUUGCUUUCUGUGAUGACUCUGGAUAACUUCACUGAUCGCAGUCGGCCUUGUGUCGGCGACGGAUCUUUCAAAUGUCUGCCCUAUCAAUUUUCGAUGGUAGGUGACCUGCCUACCAUGGUGCUAACGGGUAACGGGGAAUCAGGGUUCGAUUCCGGAGAGGGAGCCUGAGAAACGGCUACCACUUCCAAGGAAGGCAGCAGGCACGCAAAUUACCCAAUCCCGGCACGGGGAGGUAGUGACGAAAAAUACGGAUACGGGACUCACUUGAGGCUCCGUAAUUCGAAUGAGUACAAUUUAAAUCCUUUAACGAGGACCAACUGGAGGGCAAGUCUGGUGCCAGCAGCCGCGGUAACUCCAGCUCCAGAAGCGUAUAUUAAAGUUGUUGCAGUUAAAAAGCUCGUAGUUGGAUCUGGGUUGCAUGGCUACAUGCCGUCGCUCGUGUGUCUGCUACUACCGUGGUGGGCAUAUGAGUCGGUUUCGUGGUUGUGCUUCCUUUCUGCUGUGUCUGUUUACAGGUGUCAGCGUGGUUGGUUGGCUUGCCUGCCGACCUGUUGGCAUGCUUCUUGAUGCCCUUAACCGGGUGUCGGAGGCGGACAGCACGUUUACUUUGAACAAAUCUGAGUGCUCAAAGCAGGC